rnacentral:rRNA from 1 species
AACGAACGCUGGCGGCAUGCCUAACACAUGCAAGUCGAACGAGACCUUCGGGUCUAGUGGCGCACGGGUGCGUAACGCGUGGGAACCUGCCCUUAGGUUCGGAAUAACUCCCCGAAAGGGGUGCUAAUACCGGAUAAUGUCUUCGGACCAAAGAUUUAUCGCCUUUGGAUGGGCCCGCGUUAGAUUAGCUAGUUGGUAGGGUAAAAGCCUACCAAGGCGACGAUCCAUAGCUGGUCUGAGAGGAUGAUCAGCCACACUGGGACUGAGACACGGCCCAGACUCCUACGGGAGGCAGCAGUGGGGAAUAUAGGAAAAUGGGCGAAGGCAUGAACCAGCAAUGCCGCGUGAGUGCUGAAGGCCUGAGGGUUGUAAAGCUAUUUUACCCGGGAUGAUAAUGACAGUACCGGGAGAAUAAGCACCGGCUAACUCCGUG